ensembl:lncRNA
GAAACAUUAAAAAUGUAGAAUUAUAUUUUAAUCCUUGGACUGACAGCUUGGCCAAAAAGGGGGUUCGAAGGGUCGUGAUAAGAUGAUAGCCUGUCAUCCCCAGCCAUCUCACACAUACGCAUGCACACUCACACACGCCGCUGUGAGGAAUACUAAUCAACCUGUUUGCCGACAAGUGCAGCAGCUCGACGCGCAACUUAGCACUUUUCCAUUCUGUGUCUGGAAACAUCUGUGCGGGCUUUUAUUUUAUUGUAUUGUAUUGGUGAAUUUCAAGUGUUUUUUUUUUGUUGUUGUUUUUUGCCGUCCUCUUUGCAGGAAGCGCGGGUGUUAUCAGUCCAGUCUCACCUGUCGCUGCGUCUUCUGAUGUGCGACAGGCAGUGAGGGAGUGUGGAUCCGGGGAAAUACAACCCACUGCUGUGCCGCUUCUAGCAAGGGAAGCCCCCACGCGUUGCGCGCCCAGAUCGCCGGUAGAGAGGCUAUUCGCGUGGCGGAGUGCGUGUGCAUGCGCGUCAGGUUAUAAAUGUGUGUACUUGAGCACGGCAAAGCCCCAGGCUCCAUCCUCAACAGUUGCCACCCGAGCGGCGGAGAGGAGAGGAGGAGAGCGAGAGAGAUAGCAGACUGAGUACGGACGGACGCGGAGCUCCACGCCGCUCUGCCCGGCUCUGCUCCUGACAUGCAGUCGUUCAUCUCUCCGGUGACCAAGGCCAUCCUAGUAGCGCUCUUCAUCUUCGCCAUUCUCCUCAUUCUCUAUGUGAUCCUUUGGUACAUUUGCAGAGACGUGGACUGCGACCACGGCAUUUGAGGAUUCCGUUAAAACGGAGUAACGGAAAUAUCACAAUGGGUCGCACAGAGGAACCAACAGAGCCCAGGGUCAUUUUCAGCUAGUUCUAGAAUAUAUUUGGUCCGCAGACACAUCACAGCAGCCCUGCCCCGCAGCCUGGAUCCACACCAGUUUGCCUACAGAGCAAACCGAUCCACGGAAGACGCUGUAGCCACAGCACUCCAUGCUGCAUUAACUCACCUGGAAGAGCAUGGUAGCUAUGUGCGGAAGCUCUUCGUGGAUUACUGCUCAGCUUUUAACACCAUCCUUCCACACAAACUGGUGGCCAAGCUACAAGACCUGGGGCUUCCAUACAGCACCUGCAUGUGGAUCAAUAGCUUCCUCUCGGGCCGUAGACAGAGAGUCAGAGUUGGCCAUCACACAUCCUCAGCCCUGAGUCUCAGCACUGGCUCACCCCAGGGCUGUGUGCUCAGUCCACUGCUCUACUCUCUCUACACACACGACUGCACUCCUCGCCACCACAGCAACAUCUUUGUGAAAUUUGCAGAUGACACCACAGUGGUGGGGCUCAUUUCCAAGGGAGACGAGUCUACGUACAGAGACG